AACGCAAAUUGCGCUCGAGGCUUCGGCCAAGAGCAUGCCUGCCUCAGCGUCGGGUUACUGUUCCAUCACCAAAGAUCUGAUGUCCUAGCAGGACUCGGUGAAGGGUGGGUCUGGCUUUCUCCGUGUGGCGUCUUGGUCUUCUGAUGGGAAGCACCCUCCUCAUCACAACACAAGGGUCUUCUUCAGAUACAAUUCUAUACAGGAAAACCUAUGAACAACUCCUCGACCUGAGCUCAGGCAAGACUACCCGCUGAACUUAA
rnacentral:misc_RNA from 1 species